GCACAAGCGGCGGAGCAUGUGGAUUAAUUCGAUGCAACGCGAAGAACCUUACCUGGGCUUGACAUGCACUGGAUCGGGCCAGAGAUGGUCUUUCCCUUUGUGGCUGGUGUGCAGGUGGUGCAUGGUUGUCGUCAGCUCGUGUCGUGAGAUGUUGGGUUAAGUCCCGCAACGAGCGCAACCCUUGUCUUAUGUUGCCAGCAUUUGGUUGGGGACUCAUGAGAGACUGCCGGGGUUAACUCGGAGGAAGGUGGGGAUGACGUCAAAUCAUCAUGCCCCUUAUGUCCAGGGCUUCACACAUGCUACAAUGGUCGGUACAGCGCGUGUGCGAUACUGUGAGGUGGAGCUAAUCGCUAGAAAGCCGGUCGUAGUUCGGAUUGGGGUCUGCAACUCGACCCCAUGAAGUCGGAGUCGCUAGUAAU
rnacentral:rRNA from 1 species